CGCCCGCUUUACUAAUCAUGAUUAAUAUAUAUACACACAUGUACAAACACAAAACAAUACAGGAGUGAAUAUACACAUCAAUUUAUCGCCCGCGUUACUAAUCAUGAUUAAUAUAUAUACACACAUGUACAAACACAAAACAAUACAGGAGUGAAUAUACACAUCAAUUUAUCGCCCGCGUUACUAAUCAUGAUUAAUAUACACACAUGUACAAAGACAAAAUAAUACAGGAGUGAAUAUACACAUCAAUGUAUGGCCCGCUUUACUGAACAUGAUUAUAAUCAUUUUAAAGUUCUUAAGAAGUAUGAAUAUAAAUAUCACAUAAGCUUUACA
rnacentral:lncRNA from 1 species